GUGGGUGGACGGGGGGGGAGAGGGUGGGAAGGAAAAAUUGGAGGUAGGGUGAGGGAAGGGGAGGGUUGAAGGGAAAAUAAUGAAACAGAGGAAAAAAGAGAAUAACAAGUAAAAAGCAAUGCAUGUAAAUACAGAGCAAGCAAGUAGGAAAGCUAGGCAUAGCACAGCAAAAGAGAGCAAAGCAAAAGAAGGCAAAGAAUGACAAAAAGCAACCUUGCAGGAAUGGAGGAAUCUGUCCAGAGCUGUGCCCCUGCUUGCCACAGGAGCUGCGCGGGAGGAGAAGAACGUGGGCCAAAAGGUAAGAGGAGCUCCUUUGGGUUCUGGGCUUGAAGCAAAGCUGAGAAGCCAUGCCCGGGAGGAGGUGUGGGUAGCUACAGGCCACCUUGCUAUCUCCCCAAGAGAUGAGGUGUGUGGGCUAGGCACCGGGCAGGAGUGCUGGCCAGAAGCAAGCAUCUCUGUGGAGGAAGGCAAAGGGCGGAGGAGGUUCAAGGGUAGCUACCGGGCAUGGCCUUGCUCAGCAAGGGGAGGAAAAGCCUGAAGGGCACGAGAAGGGGAUAGAGAAGGGCAGGCAGUAGGCGUGAAGCUGCGAGCAGAGUAGAGAGCAACUUGGCAGAGCAGCAAGCAGAGUAGGCAAGUGUGAGGUUUGGCGUGAGUAGCAGCAAAAGCCCAGAGCAUCAAGAAGCAGGAAGUGAGGAGAAGGAAUGGAGGAAUCUGUCCAGAGCUGUGCCCCUGCUUGCCACAGGAGCUGCGCGGGAGGAGAAGAACGUGGGCCAAAAGGUAAGAGGAGCUCCUUUGGGUUCUGGGCUUGAAGCAAAGCUGAGAAGCCAUGCCCGGGAGGAGGUGUGGGUAGCUACAGGCCACCUUGCUAUCUCCCCAAGAGAUGAGGUGUGUGGGCUAGGCACCGGGCAGGAGUGCUGGCCAGAAGCAAGCAUCUCUGUGGAGGAAGGCAAAGGGCGGAGGAGGUUCAAGGGUAGCUACCGGGCAUGGCCUUGCUCAGCAAGGGGAGGAAAAGCCUGAAGGGCACGAGAAGGGGAUAGAGAAGGGCAGGCAGUAGGCGUGAAGCUGCGAGCAGAGUAGAGAGCAACUUGGCAGAGCAGCAAGCAGAGUAGGCAAGUG
rnacentral:lncRNA from 7 species